rnacentral:rRNA from 1 species
CCUACGGGUGGCAGCAGUGGGGAAUAUUGGACAAUGGGCGAAAGCCUGAUCCAGCCAUGCCGCGUGUGUGAAGAAGGCCUUCGGGUUGUAAAGCACUUUCAGUGGGGAAGAAAGCCUUGGGGCUAAUACCCUCGAGGAAGGACAUCACCAACAGAAGAAGCACCGGCUAACUCCGUGCCAGCAGCCGCGGUAAUACGGAGGGUGCGAGCGUUAAUCGGAAUUACUGGGCGUAAAGCGCGCGUAGGCGGUCUGAUAAGCCGGUUGUGAAAGCCCCGGGCUCAACCUGGGAACGGCAUCCGGAACUGUCAGGCUAGAGUGCAGGAGAGGAAGGUAGAAUUCCCGGUGUAGCGGUGAAAUGCGUAGAGAUCGGGAGGAAUACCAGUGGCGAAGGCGGCCUUCUGGACUGACACUGACGCUGAGGUGCGAAAGCGUGGGUAGCAAACAGGAUUAGAUACCCCAGUAGUC